rnacentral:rRNA from 1 species
UACGACUACAUAUCAGGCAUAUCAAUAAGCGGAGGAAAAGAAACUAACUAGGAUUCCCUCAGUAACGGCGAGUGAAGCGGGAAGAGCUCAAAUUUGAAAUCUUCAAGGUUUACCUUGACGAAUUGUAGUUUAAAGAAGUGUUUUCUGUUAGGAGUUUUGGUAAAAGUUCUUUGGAAUAGGACAUCAUAGAGGGUGAGAAUCCCGUAUUUGACCAUUAUUUCCAGCUUUGUGAUACACUUUCAAAGAGUCGGAUUGUUUGGGAAUGCAGUCCAAAAUGGGUGGUAAAUUUCAUCUAAAGCUAAAUAGUUGGCGAGAGACCGAUAGCGAACAAGUACCGUGAGGGAAAGAUGAAAAGAACUUUGAAAAGAGAGUUAAACAGUACGUGAAAUUGUCAAAAGGGAAGCGUUUGACACCAGUGUUGUUUCUACGAAAAUCAAUUUAUGAUGGCUUGAUGCUAAGCUUUAAGACUUUAUCCGCUUGUUGUUUAGUUUUCUUGUCUUUGUGAAUGCACUUUUCGUGGAACAAGUCAACAUCAAUUUCUUUUGCUGUAAAAGGGUAAGAGGAAGGUGGCUUCGGCUUCGGUUGAAGUGUUUAUAGCCUUUUAUCUCUGCAGUCGGAGAGAUUGAGGUCUGCAGCGUAGACUCUUCGGGGUUAGAUACGUCGGUGCUAAGCUAUAGCUUUUCAUAGACAACUUGUUGACUAUGUUUAGUCAUGUGGCUUACCCGCUGGCGCUAUUUUACCUACGCUUAGGAUGUUGACACACGCGCGUGCUCG